rnacentral:rRNA from 1 species
UACGGAGGGCGCAAGCGUUGUUCGGAAUUACUGGGCGUAAAGCGCGUGUAGGUGGCCUGGCAAGUCGGGUGUGAAAUCCCGGAGCUCAACUCCGGAACUGCAUCCGAUACUGCCAAGCUCGAGUCUCGGAGAGGAUGGCGGAAUUUCCGGUGUAGAGGUGAAAUUCGUAGAUAUCGGAAGGAACACCAGUGGCGAAGGCGGCGAUCUGGGCUGAUACUGACGCUGAGGUGCGAAAGCGUGGGGAGCAAACAGG